rnacentral:misc_RNA from 1 species
UCGCGGCUUAUCACCGGCAGUCCCCUUAGAGUGCCCAACUGAAUGAUGGCAACUAAGGGCGAGGGUUGCGCUCGUUGCGGGACUUAAUCCGACACCUCACGACACGAGCUGACGACAGCCAUGCAGCACCUGUCUACGCGCUCCGAAGAGGGUCCCCGCUUUCACGAGGAUUGCACGUAGAUGUCAAGCCCAGGUAAGGUUCUUCGCGUUGCUUCGAAUUAAACCACAUACUCCACCGCUUGUGCGGGCCCCCGUCAAUUCCUUUGAGUUUCAACCUUGCGGCCGUACUCCCCAGGCGGAGAACUUAUCGCGUUAGCUACGACACCGAUUUGCUAAGCAAACCAACGUCAAGUUCUCAUCGUUUACGGCGUGGACUAC